AUUGAACGCUGGCGGCAGGCCUAACACAUGCAAGUCGAACGAGUGGCGGACGGGUGAGUAAUGUCUGGGAAACUGCCUGAUGGAGGGGGAUAACUACUGGAAACGGUAGCUAAUACCGCAUACCAUCGGAUGUGCCCAGAUGGGAUUAGCUAGUGGGUGGGGUAACGGCUCACCUAGGCGACGAUCCCUAGCGGGUCUGCGAGGAUGACCAGCCACACUGGAACUGAGACACGGUCCAGACGCCUACGGGGGGGAGCAGUGGGGAAUGUUGGACAAUGGGCGCAAGCCUGGUGCGGCCAUGCCGGGGGUAUGAAGAAGGCCUUCGGGUGGUAAAGUACUUUCAGCGGGGAGGCGUUACCCGCAGAAGAAGCACCGGCUAACUCCGUGCCAGCAGCCGCGGUAAUAC
rnacentral:rRNA from 1 species